rnacentral:rRNA from 2 species
UGACCUCAAAUCAGGUAACGAAUAACCGCUGA